rnacentral:rRNA from 1 species
GUGGUGGGCCAGGAAUCGGUCUGCAGUCGAGCGGACAGAUGGGAGCUUGCUCCCUGAUGUUAGCGGCGGACGGGUGAGUAACACGUGGGUAACCUGCCUGUAAGACUGGGAUAACUCCGGGAAACCGGGGCUAAUACCGGAUGGUUGUUUGAACCGCAUGGUUCAAACAUAAAAGGUGGCUUCGGCUACCACUUACAGAUGGACCCGCGGCGCAUUAGCUAGUUGGUGAGGUAACGGCUCACCAAGGCAACGAUGCGUAGCCGACCUGAGAGGGUGAUCGGCCACACUGGGACUGAGACACGGCCCAGACUCCUACGGGAGGCAGCAGUAGGGAAUCUUCCGCAAUGGACGAAAGUCUGACGGAGCAACGCCGCGUGAGUGAUGAAGGUUUUCGGAUCGUAAAGCUCUGUUGUUAGGGAAGAACAAGUACCGUUCGAAUAGGGCGGUACCUUGACGGUACCUAACCAGAAAGCCACGGCUAACUACGUGCCAGCAGCCGCGGUAAUACGUAGGUGGCAAGCGUUGUCCGGAAUUAUUGGGCGUAAAGGGCUCGCAGGCGGUUUCUUAAGUCUGAUGUGAAAGCCCCCGGCUCAACCGGGGAGGGUCAUUGGAAACUGGGGAACUUGAGUGCAGAAGAGGAGAGUGGAAUUCCACGUGUAGCGGUGAAAUGCGUAGAGAUGUGGAGGAACACCAGUGGCGAAGGCGACUCUCUGGUCUGUAACUGACGCUGAGGAGCGAAAGCGUGGGGAGCGAACAGGAUUAGAUACUCUGGUAGUCCACGCCGUACACGAUGAGUGCUAAGUGUUAAGGGGUUUCCGCCCCUUAGUGCUGCAGCUAACGCAUUAAGCACUCCGCCUGGGGAGUACGGUCGCAAGACUGAAACUCAUAGGAAUUGACGGGGGCCCGCACAAGCGGUGGAGCAUGUGGUUUAAUUCGAAGCAACGCGAAGAACCUUACCAGUCUUGACAUCCUCUGACAUCCUAGAGAUAGGACGUCCCCUUCGGGGGCAGAGUGACAGGUGCUGCAUGUUUGUCGUCAGCUCGUGUCGUGAGAUGUUGGGUUAA